GAUGAACGCUAGCGGGAGGCCUAACACAUGCAAGCCGAGCGGUAGAGUUUCUUCGGAAACUUGAGAGCGGCGCACGGGUGCGGAACACGUGUGCAACCUACCUUUAUCUGGAGGAUAGCCUUUCGAAAGGAAGAUUAAUACUCCAUAAUAUAUUUGAUGGCAUCAUUAAAUAUUGAAAGCUCCGGCGGAUAGAGAUGGGCACGCGCAAGAUUAGCUAGUUGGUGAGGUAACGGCUCACCAAGGCAAUGAUCUUUAGGGGGCCUGAGAGGGUGAUCCCCCACACUGGUACUGAGACACGGACCAGACUCCUACGGGAGGCAGCAGUGAGGAAUAUUGGUCAAUGGGUGCAAGCCUGAACCAGCCAUCCCGCGUGAAGGACGACUGCCCUAUGGGUUGUAAACUUCUUUUGUAUAGGGAUAAACCUACUCUCGUGAGAGUAGCUGAAGGUACUAUACGAAUAAGCACCGGCUAACUCCGUGCCAGCAGCCGA
rnacentral:rRNA from 1 species